AGCGUAGACGGUGUGGCAAGUCUGAUGUGAAAGGCAUGGGCUCAACCUGUGGACUGCAUUGGAAACUGUCAUACUUGAGUGCCAGAGGGGUAAGCGGAAUUCCUAGUGUAGCGGUGAAAUGCGUAGAUAUUAGGAGGAACACCAGUGGCGAAGGCGGCUUACUGGACGGUAACUGACGUUGAGGCUCGAAAGCAUGGGUAGCGAACA
rnacentral:rRNA from 1 species